AGCGAACGCUGGCGGCAGGCUUAACACAUGCAAGUCGAGCGCCCCGCAAGGGGAGCGGCAGACGGGUGAGUAACACGUGGGAACGUGCCUUUUGGUUCGGAACAACCCAGGGAAACUUGGGCUAAUACCGGAUAAGCCCUUACGGGGAAAGAUUUAUCGCCAAAAGAUCGGCCCGCGUCUGAUUAGCUAGUUGGUGGGGUAAUGGCCCACCAAGGCUACGAUCAGUAGCUGGUCUGAGAGGAUGAUCAGCCACAUUGGGACUGAGACACGGCCCAAACUCCUACGGGAGGCAGCAGUGGGGAAUAUUGGACAAUGGGGGCAACCCUGAUCCAGCCAUGCCGCGUGAGUGAUGAAGGCCUUAGGGUUGUAAAGCUCUUUUAGCAGGGAAGAUAAUGACGGUACCUGCAGAAAAAGCCCCGGCUAACUUCGUGCCAGCCGCCGCCGUAA
rnacentral:rRNA from 1 species